CAAACGGCCCUUUCUCCAAGGGCCACACACCCAUUUCAAAAAGAGCUGU
rfam:Pteropus alecto contig26261, whole genome shotgun sequence.